UGAGGAAUAUUGGUCAAUGGCCGGGAAGGCUGAACCAGCCAAGCCGCGUGAAGGACGAAGGUGCCAAGCAUUGUAAACUUCUUUUGUCAAGGGACAAAAUCAGGCUCGAGAGCCUGACCGAGGGUACUUGAAGAAAAAGCAUCGGCUAACUCCGUGCC
rnacentral:rRNA from 1 species